rnacentral:rRNA from 1 species
AUUGAACGCUGGCGGCAUGCUUUACACAUGCAAGUCGAACGGCAGCGCGGGCUUCGGCCUGGCGGCGAGUGGCGAACGGGUGAGUAAUGCAUCGGAACGUGCCCAGUAGUGGGGGAUAGCCCGGCGAAAGCCGGAUUAAUACCGCAUACGACCUGAGGGUGAAAGCGGGGGACCGAAAGGCCUCGCGCUAUUGGAGCGGCCGAUGUCGGAUUAGCUAGUUGGUGGGGUAAAGGCUUACCAAGGCGACGAUCCGUAGCUGGUCUGAGAGGACGACCAGCCACCGUGGGACUGAGACCCGGCCCAGGCCCCUAGGGGGGGGCGGAGGGGGGAAUUUUGGAAAAGGGGGGAAACCCUGACCCAGCCAUGCCGGGGGGGGGAAGAGGGCCUUCGGGUUGUAAACCGGUUUUGUUGGGGAAAAAAUCCUCUGGGCUAAUACCCCGGGGGGAUGGGGGUACCGGAAAAAUAAGCCCCGGCAAACUACGU